GUUUUCGGAUCGUAAAGCUCUGUUGUCAGCAGAGAACAGGAGAAAGAGGCAAUGCUUUUUCUAUGACGGUAGCUGACCAGAAAGCCACGGCUAACUACGUGCCAGCAGCCGCGGUAAUACGUAGGUGGCAAGCGUUGUCCGGGAUUUAUUGGGCGUAAAGCGAAGCGCAGGCGGUGAUUUAAGUCUGAUGUGAAAGCCCCCAGCUCAACUGGGGAGGGUCAUUGGAAACUGGAUCACUUGAGUGCAGAAGAGGAGAGUGGAAUUCCAUGUGUAGCGGUGAAAUGCGUAGAUAUAUGGAGGAACACCAGUGGCGAAGGCGGCUCUCUGGUCUGUAACUGACGCUGAGGCUCGAAAGCGUGGGUAGCAAACAGGAUUAGAUACCCUGGUAGUCCACGCCGUAAACGAUGAGUGCUAAGUGUUGGAGGGUUUCCGCCCUUCAGUGCUGCAGUUAACGCAUUAAGCACUCCGCCUGGGGAGUACGACCGCAAGGUUGAAACUCAAAGGAAUUGACGGGGGCCCGCACAAGCGGUGGAGCAUGUGGUUUAAUUCGAAGCAACGCGAAGAACCUUACCAGGUCUUGACAUCCUUUGACCGCCCUAGAGAUAGGGUUUCCCCUUCGGGGGCAAAGUGACAGGUGGUGCAUGGUUGUCGUCAGCUCGUGUCGUGAGAUGUUGGGUUAAGUCCCGUAACGAGCGCAACCCUUAUUGUUAGUUGCCAGCAUUGCGUUGGGCACUCUAGCAAGACUGCCGGUGACAAACCGGAGGAAGGCGGGGAUGACGUCAAAUCAUCAUGCCC
rnacentral:rRNA from 1 species